rnacentral:rRNA from 1 species
AGAAUCAACGCUGGCGGCGUGCCUAACACAUGCAAGUCGCACGAGAAAGGGACUUCGGUCCUGAGUACAGUGGCGCACGGGUGAGUAACACGUGAAUUAUCUACCUCCGAGUGGGGAAUAACUGAGAGAAAUCUUAGCUAAUACCGCAUAACACUUACGAGUCAAAGCAGCAAUGCGCUUGGAGAGGAGUUCGCGGCCGAUUAGUUAGUUGGCGGGGUAAUGGCCCACCAAGACGAUGAUCAGUA